rnacentral:misc_RNA from 1 species
AGUCUUCUGCCAGCCCCAUACGUGUGCCGUCCGACCCCCUCCCCCCCCCUCCCCCACGUACGCCCGCAAAGCGGCGAGAAAACUACACAAACACAAAGAAGGAGAGAUGGAUGCAGCCACGUUGCUGAGACGCAUCGGGGAUGUCGAGAAGGCGAAUCGCCAAAGCGUGGACGAGGCAGCAUGUGAGCUUAAGGCGGCGGUGUUGCUGUUCAACAACCAAGUGCGCCUCUUGGGUGGAACUCAGUCGUGGCUAAUCCCAACGGAACGGGGUCGCGAUGAGGACCAAACGUUUUUCGAGACCCCCGAGCAGUCGUUCUUGGCGCUGACGGAGGAUGAGGUUGCGUCGUUGCAUCCAGAACAGGUGUCCAGUUAUGUGCCGCGUCUGUGCGAGUGCUUACGCACCGAGGAAUGUUUCGUGGCUGCUGCAAGACUGCAUGACGUGGUGAAGUGGCACGGAGCAGAGCUUCUGCAUGCUCCAGAGCUGCGACUCACGUGGCGCCGUAUCAGAGCGUCGCUGGAGAACUUGAUGGAGUGCGGUGCUGCUGCAGAUGAACGCAAGCGUGUAAGCAGCACUCUCCAAAUGAUGGACGCACUGAUGAGAUAGUUGAGCUCGUAGCUCGACAACAGUGCAGCCUUUUUUGUUUGCGUGUGUGUGUGUGUUACACGCGGUAUUGUUCUGCUAUUCAACGACCAUGACUUACUAUUUUACUGUGAAGAACUAAAAAAAA